rnacentral:rRNA from 1 species
UACAGAGGUCUCAAGCGUUUGUUCGGAUUCAUUGGGCGUAAAGGGUGCGUAGGCGGCGCGGUAAGUCGGGUGUGAAAUCUCGGAGCUUAACUCCGAAACUGCAUUCGAUACUGCCGUGCUUGAGGACUGGAGAGGAGACUGGAAUUUACGGUGUAGCGGUGAAAUGUGUAGAUAUCGUAAGGAAGACCAGUGGCGAAGGCGACUACCUGGCCUGUUCUUGACGCUGAGGCGCGAAAGCUAGGGGAGCAAACGGG